rnacentral:rRNA from 1 species
UACGAAGGUCCCAAGCGUUAUCCGGAUUUAUUGGGUUUAAAGGGCGUGUAGGCGGUCAGGUAAGUGGGAUGUGAAAUGCCCCGGCUCACCCGGGGACCGGCAUCCCAUACUGCUUGGCUUGAGUACGGGAGAGGAUGUGGGAAUUCCUGGUGUAGCGGUGAAAUGCGUAGAUAUCAGGAGGAACACCGGUGGCGAAGGCGCACAUCUGGCCCGAUACUGACGCUGAGGCGCGAAAGCUAGGGGAGCAAACGGG